rnacentral:lncRNA from 1 species
UUGGCAGCGCUGCCAAAGUUUCCUGACUACAGAAAGCGGAAAUACUGUCGGAGUCGGACAUUGAAGAGAGCUUAGAUCAGGCCUGCAUCUUACUAAAAUUUCUCUUUUUCAGCAGAAUGUCGUCGUUGGUGGGUUGGCAACUAGACCACAGACUAAGAGUAGGCUGUCGGAGUAGACAUCAGUACUACACUUCCACUCGUAGUCUAUCCCUAGACGGAAGAAAAAAAUGUUUCACAAGCUAAGCAACUGGCAAGAACCAUCAGAUUCCUUCAUUGAGACUAGAGCAAGAUGAGAGUUGUUCUGCCUAAAUGGAUGAAUCGGGUCGUCGUAAUUUUCUUUAAGAGAUUAUGCAGCCUGUAAAGAAAUGUACAGAGUUGCACUAUGCAAAAUGGAAGUUGAACUCAAGUUGGCCUUUGUGAAUUGUUCUUCAGCAAUAUUUCAAUUGGAUCUAUUGGAAGAGUACUAGAAGCUGCCUUUGUGCAUUUUCAAGUUCAAGAAAAAAUAAUGUAGAUGGACGAUGUAGAAAAUGGAAAUAAUCAAGAUGGAGACUUCGGUUUAGAUGGUAGAAUCAUAUUGCUCGGUGGAGAGAAUCUGACUUUAAAAGAGCUGGCGCCGCCGUAGACAUCAGUAAACAGAUCUUGUGGCAGGAGAAACUCUUUGUGGAACAAUCUAAUGCCCUUGUGGUACUACCCGACUUCCAGACCACGCAUUGUCACCAUUCUACUCGCGAGCUGCCACGAAAACGAUAUCUUUUGUGUUGGGGCAAUAUGGUUUUGUAGUGAUGCCUGCUGAUAAGAAUCGUCCCGCUACCAUACUUUUGAAUGCAAACUGAAAUCUGUAUUAAAUUCCGUCGGUAUUGCACACCUGGGAGCGAUGAUAGUUGUUUCGUAUGGGCUGGAGCAAUUAGUUCUUGAUGGUACGGAAAGUGAAGAAAGUUCCCGGUAUGGAUAGCUUAUGACACAACGUUAUCAGGCUAUGUUCCAUCUGAUCUCGCAUACUGAACGAGUGAUGAGCUUUAUCAACACGUCUCGACUGCCGCUCUUUUAGCGUUGCGACUGACAACGCACACGCAAUUACCGAAAUCUGCGGUCUAGAUAAGAACAGUGAAAGACAAGAGAAUUGCAUUUGCCAUUUACCCAUCCGCCUAUUUAAUAAACUGCAGUUGCGAUUAAACAGUGGACAAAAGUUUCCAAGGCAAUAAACUAAUCGUCCUUGCCAUCUGCGAUAUUCUGCAAGGUGAUCAAGUGUGCAACUGUUAUGUGCCGCAUUGGUGAGGCAUUUGGAAGGUGCCAAGUGAAUUUACCGGAUCCAUUUCGUCAAAUGUCAAAAUUGACAAAAUAUUUUAUUAUUUUAAAUAAUCAUAUUAAUUAGAAACUUGCAUUGAUUAAUGUUAACUUCUAUAUGGAUAAAAUACGUAGAAUGUCAGGAAAUCAUUUUGAUCGUCCAAAGAUUUCCCUACUUUCUAAAAUGUUUUUUAUUUAUUCCUUUUGAAGUGCAUAUCUGUGCUCUUAUUUUCUGUGGCCCUGUUUCACUUUGCCUUGUGAUAAGUAUGUCGUGUCAAGCCGUUACUUUCCUUAGCAGACAAAAUUGGAAGUGAUCUCGGCAAAAGGGAAAUGGAGAUAUU